GCCAGGCAUAGUGGCAUGUGCCUGUAGUCCCAGCUACUCAGGAGGCUGAGGCAGGAGAAUCACUUGAACCCAGGAGGUGGAGGCUGCAGUGAGCCAAGAUGUGCCACUGCACUCCAGCCUGGGUGACACAGUGAGACUCUGUCUCAA
ensembl:misc_RNA Metazoa_SRP Metazoan signal recognition particle RNA